GACGUAGGGCGCGAGCGUUGUCCGGAUUUAUUGGGCGUAAAGAGCGCGUAGGCGGCUCGUUGCGUCGGCUGUGAAAACCCGCAGCUCAACUGUGGGCGUGCGGGCGAUACGGGCAGACUGGAGUACUGCAGGGGAGACUGGAAUUCCUGGUGUAGCGGUGAAAUGCGUAGAUAUUGGGAGGAACACCAGUGGCGAAGGCGGCUCACUGGACCGGAACUGACGCUGAGGCGCGAAAGCGUGGGGGAGCAAACAGG
rnacentral:rRNA from 1 species